UGCGCAGGCGGCCUGAUAAGUCAGAGGUGAAAUAUGACGGCUUAACCGUCAAACUGCCUCUGAAACUGUCAGGCUUGAGUCCGGGAGAGGUAGGUGGAAUUCCAGGUGUAGCGGUGAAAUGCGUAAAUAUCUGGAGGAACACCGGUGGCGAAGGCGGCCUACUGGCCCGGAACUGACGCUCAGGCACGAAAGCAUGGGGAGCGAACG
rnacentral:rRNA from 1 species